AUGGUCUUAGCUUGCUAAGGCCGAUGGCGACCGGCGCACGGGUGAGUAACACGUAUCCAACCUGCCGUCUACUCUUGGACAGCCUUCUGAAAGGAAGAUUAAUACAAGAUGGCAUCAUGAGUCCGCAUGUUCACAUGAUUAAAGGUAUUCCGGUAGACGAUGGGGAUGCGUUCCAUUAGAUAGUAGGCGGGGUAACGGCCCACCUAGUCUUCGAUGGAUAGGGGUUCUGAGAGGAAGGUCCCCCACAUUGGAACUGAGACACGGUCCAAACUCCUACGGGAGGCAGCAGUGAGGAAUAUUGGUCAAUGGGCGAGAGCCUGAACCAGCCAAGUAGCGUGAAGGAUGACUGCCCUAUGGGUUGUAAACUUCUUUUAUAAAGGAAUAAAGUCGGGUAUGCAUACCCGUUUGCAUGUACUUUAUGAAUAAGGAUCGGCUAACUCCGUGCCAGCAGCCGCGGUAAUACGGAGGAUCCGAGCGUUAUCCGGAUUUAUUGGGUUUAAAGGGAGCGUAGAUGGAUGUUUAAGUCAGUUGUGAAAGUUUGCGGCUCAACCGUAAAAUUGCAGUUGAUACUGGAUAUCUUGAGUGCAGUUGAGGCAGGCGGAAUUCGUGGUGUAGCUGUGAAAUGCUUAGAUAUCACGAAGAACCCCGAUUGCGAAGGCAGCUUGCUAAACUGUAACUGACGUUCAUGCUCGAAAGUGUGGGUAUCAAACAGGAUUAGAUACCCUGGUAGUCCACACGGUAAACGAUGGAUACUCGCUGUUGGCGAUAUACUGUCAGCGGCCAAGCGAAAGCAUUAAGUAUCCCACCUGGGGAGUACGCCGGCAACGGUGAAACUCAAAUGAACUGAC
rnacentral:rRNA from 1 species